UGUACAUCUUCUGUUUACUGAAUUAAGAUAUUAUAAGAUAUUUUAAAAGUUUAUUGUGCCAUGAUAUUUUUUUAGUAAAUUCAGGGGUGAAGUGUUGUAUUUGGCGUGAGUACAAAAUCGUUAACUAAUUUGGUUGGUCAAUUAAUCUACACACCAACAUAAAGCGUGGCACAUUGGGUGGUGCUAGAUAUCCUUCGACAUGGAUAUGGAGGAGCUUGCAUUUCCCU
rnacentral:misc_RNA from 1 species